rnacentral:rRNA from 1 species
UAACCAGUUGGAUAUAGGUAUUGAAGACUGAUAAGCCGGGGUCGUAUUAGGCGGAAUUAGCCCAUGAUGCGUAGCUAAGAAGCCACAUUUCCACUGAAACAAGGGGGAAACUCAAAAAGAGGCAGCAGUAGAGAAUAUUGUACAAUGUAUGAAAGUAUGAUACAGAGAUGUUACAUUGAUUUAAGAAGACUAUCUAAUAUAUGUGCCAGCAGAUGCGGUUAUACAUAAGGUCUAAGUUUUUGUAGGAAAAGGCGUAAAGUGUGUGUAGAUGAGGGAGUUUUAAAUGGGUAAAUAGAAUUAAAUUAAGUAGUGGUGAAAUAUAUUAAUAUUAAUAAGAAUAUUAAAGGCGAAGGCAAUGUGCUAGUUAAAACUGACAUUAAAACACGAAAGUAGGGGGAGCAAACAGGAUUAGAGACCCUGGUAGUCCCUACUGUAAACUAUGACAAAGAGAUUAUUAAUGGGGCAAUAAUCAAAAAUAACUUAAGAGAGGUCCGCCUGAUGUCUACGAUCGCAAGAUUAACAUUCAAAAAAUUUGGCGGUUCACUAAUCCAAUUAGAGGAGCGUGUAGUUUAAUUCGAUGGUCCGCGAAUAACCUUACCAAGGUUUGAAUAAGGAGUAAUUAAGUAAUUUAUUACUUUAGAUACAGGUAUUACAUGGCCGUCGUCAGUUUGUGUUUUGAAAGAAAUAGAACAAACUUAACCCUUAAUUAAAAUUGUUUGUGAUAAAAGAUUUAAUUAAAGGAUGACGUCAGGUCCUUAUGAUCCAAAUAUCUUGGGCGAUAUAUGCGCUACAAUUUUAUAUACAAAGGGUUUAAAGUAAGCUUGAAAGUAGGAGUUCGAAGAAAUUUUUUAAAAAGAAAUUUGAAGUUGGAUUUAAUAGUAAUCGAGGAGUAGAGUGUCUCGGUGAAUGUGGCUCUAGUGUUCGUACAAAUCGCCCGUCACCUCCACCAAAUAAACGAUUUAAAAGUAUUAUAUUAAAUAAAAAAAA